UUAGAAGAUCAUCCUUUCAACAGGGAUUUGCCCGCAAUGCCUUGGAUGACAAGACUACAGGUUAUGCUUGGUUCUGCUCAAGGUUUGGCUUAUCUACACCGGGGACUGGAAGUCCAGGUGAUAUAUCAAGAUUUCAAAUCCUCCAAUGUGCUAUUGGAUGAGCAAUUCAGGGCUUGCUAGAGAAGGACCAACGGGUGACCGCACUCAUGUAUCAACAUUGGUGAGUGGAGGGGUAAUGAACUUUUUAUACUCUCAAAACUGACCUUCAUAAUUCUGAGACAUGCUACACCAGCAACAUAUUGAGUGGCAACUUUACAUGUUGCAUAAGCACUUAUUAUAUGACAUGUCAUGUACAGAAGCAUCCAUAGUUCCACCCAAGUUAGCUGGCUUAGCCCACUUAUGGCUCUUAUUACUGGAUCCCCAAGCAUCAUUUGAGCCACGUUCUUGAGAGUAUUUUCACUUGCUUAGUUAGCACAUAUAAGUCAAAGGUCCUCUUUUUCCACGGGAACAAGUGCUGGUCAAUGUCACAUUUUUUUCACUUGCUAUAAAAGAAUUCAAGGAAAUCUUUUCUUUCUUCUUGUAAUAGAAUGGAAGAAGGCAGUGAAAUAGAGGAAGACUUAGUAGACUGAUCUGUGGAAUUGCUGUAAUCCAUACUGAGCAUUUUACCUUU